rnacentral:lncRNA from 1 species
UAGUUGGAAAAUUAUUACACUCCUAAUGUGGCUAAAAUACUAUAUUAUUGUAAUAAAAAAUAAACUAACAUUAAUAUUAGUGUGCAUUAUUUCAAAAAUGGAAUGAAUUAAAUGAUUGCUGUGGGCCACCUACAUCAUGCAUAAGUCUUAUUUAUAAGAUGGAAAUUGCCUAUAGAUAAUAAUGUGUUAUAUAUGAGUUUUAGUUUACACUAUGUAAUUUAGAGAAUAUAUAACUUUAGAAUGCACAUAUUCAGUUAUGGUAUUAAAUGUAUAUUUUAUUAUUUUGUAGUAAAAUUUUUGGUAAAAGUAGUAAAUGCGCUUUUUAAAAAAAUCUACAUUUUGAAUAGUGCUAACAUGCUGACUUUUCCAAGGAGAAGGGGAGCCACUUGAUCCCAAUUACUGUUUUCUUAGAAUGAACAAAUAUGGCCGUCAAGAAAUCUGAAGAAACAUGCUCAAAAGUUCUUAUUUCAUUUGGUAUUUAAAAAAAUAAAUUAGAUAUAAUAGAUAUGGUAUCAUUAGUCUGAAAAGCUCUUGAGAGUAUCCAUUCAAAAUUUCUACAAGUCUACACACAAAAGGUACAAUUUAAAAUGUGGAAGCCCCUACUGCAGGAUAACAAAAGAAAUCUAAGAGAGAAACCAUUUGAUAUAGCCAGUGUUCUCCCAAGAAAAAUAUUUCAAUUUUUUUCUGAGGGUGAGAAGAAUCUGUUGUCUUAUUAGAAAGUUUGAAGCAGGGAGAAGAGGAAAUAUAGGAAUCUGUAAUAUGUUGACAAAGCUGUCGCAAGAACCACCAAAGGAUGUUGCUAAUAACUGCUUUCUUCUCCUCAAAAAAAAAA